rnacentral:rRNA from 1 species
CUUUUACUAGAGAAUAGCCAAGAGAAAUUUUGAUUAAUGCUCUAUGUUCUUGUUUACUCGCAUGGGUAAAUAAGCAAAGCUCCGGCGGUAAAAGAUAGGCAUGCGUCCUAUUAGCUUGUAGGUGAGGUAAUGGCUCACCUAAGCUCCGAUAGGUAGGGGUCCUGAGAGGGAGAUCCCCCACACUGGUACUGAGACACGGACCAGACUUCUACGGAAGGCAGCAGUAAGGAAUAUUGGACAAUGGAGGCAACUCUGAUCCAGCCAUGCCGCGUGAAGGAAGACGGCCUUAUGGGUUGUAAACUUCUUUUAUACAGGAAGAAACCUUUCCACGUGUGGAAAGCUGACGGUACUGUAAGAAUAAGGAUCGG